GGAAGCUGGGCCAUAUUUCCCCCGUGGCCUUCAGUGCCCUCUGCCCACCCCACAAGUUACACAUGGUCCAGGAUGGGAAGGAGCUCUGCUGCCGUGCAGCCUGCCUGUGGAUGGCCCCUGCACUGUCCCCUGCAUACAUUAUGGGAAGGUGGAUGACAAACUCACUCAAAGCAUACCUUUCUGUAUCCUGGAGGCAAGGAAUUCUCUUCUCAGUGGCAAACAUGGGAGAACAGAGCAGAGAAGAAAUACUUCCUAAUUUCACUCCUUGACAAUCGUGUGGCAGAGAAGAGCCCGUGAGGGUUGGGGACCACAGCGGUGCUAUAAUUUGCCAUCUAUUGUCUCAAUGAUGAGAUUUAUCCACUCACUGAUGAAUCAAAUAUUGUUUUCAACAAGCCAGCUAUCUCACCCAACAGUGACAACUUGCUUUCAAGAACAAUAUUCCUCAUAUGAAAUUAAUGCUCCUCCUUAAAGCAUGAUUGAUUUCUGUGGUUUUUAUAUUCCAAUGCAUUUGUUUUUAUGUUUAUGUGAGGGUUAUAAACAUUCAGGCUUUAUGUCUACUUUGUGUUUGGACUCUUUAACUACCUAAUAAAAAUAAUUUAAAGCAA